UGAUGCCACGAGGUAUCUGGUGCUCUGUUAAUUUAUGGCUGAGCACCUCGUGAAAAUGGCAGAGAUGGAAGGGAGGACAGGCCUUGCGACACUGGUUGCUCAUUUUGUAAGUGUGCUUCCUGUUACUAAAUCCUGUUCACAUCU